GUAAAAGUCGUAACAAGGUUUCCGUAGGUGAACCUGCGGAAGGAUCAUUACCUAGAGUUUGUAGACUUCGGUCUGCUACCUCUUACCCAUGUCUUUUGAGUACCUUCGUUUCCUCGGCGGGUCCGCCCGCCGAUUGGACAACAUUCAAACCCUUUGCAGUUGCAAUCAGCGUCUGAAAAAACAUAAUAGUUACAACUUUCAACAACGGAUCUCUUGGUUCUGGCAUCGAUGAAGAACGCAGCGAAAUGCGAUAAGUAGUGUGAAUUGCAGAAUUCAGUGAAUCAUCGAAUCUUUGAACGCACAUUGCGCCCCUUGGUAUUCCAUGGGGCAUGCCUGUUCGAGCGUCAUUUGUACCUUCAAGCUCUGCUUGGUGUUGGGUGUUUGUCUCGCCUCUGCGUGUAGACUCGCCUUAAAACAAUAGGCAGCCGGCGUAUUGAUUUCGGAGCGCAGUACAUCUCGCGCUUUGCACUCAUAACGACGACGUCCAAAAGUACAUUUUUACACUCUUGACCUCGGAUCAGGUAGGGA
rnacentral:rRNA from 1 species